rnacentral:rRNA from 1 species
AUGUGCUUGCGGGAUAAGGAUCUCUGGCUUAUGCGGUGCCCACUGAUAUGCAACUGGGCGGUUGAGUUUCAUUUGCCGCAUCGCGUGUUACGUCAGUUUGGUCUUUUCCAGCCUCACCCGCCGGAUUGGGUGGACACGGACAAAGCACUUCAUAGGUUGGACAGGAGAAGGCAGCGGAAGAUAAAGGACUGGGACAAGCAUCAUGCUCCGUAUGUUACCCGCUUCCAGCUUUCUGUGGAGCAAGCUCGUAGCACUGCACGCGCCCAGCUUCGUGAGCAUAACCCAAUUGCUUUUGAUAACUACAUACGAUGGCUUCUUGAAAAUACUUGA